AUUGAACGCUGGCGGCAGGCCUAACACAUGCAAGUCGAACGAGUGGCGGACGGGUGAGUAAUGUCUGGGAAACUGCCCGAUGGAGGGGGAUAACUACUGGAAACGGUAGCUAAUACCGCAUACCAUCGGAUGUGCCCCGAUGGGAUUAGCUAGUAGGUGGGGUAACGGCUCACCUAGGCGACGAUCCCUAGCUGGUCUGAGAGGAUGACCGGCCACACGGGAACUGAGACACGGUGCAGACUCCUACGUGAGGCAGCAGGGGGGAAUAUGGCACAAGGGGCGAAGGCCUGAUGCAGCCAUGCCGCGUGUAUGAAGAGGGCCUUCGGGUUGUAAAGUACUUUCAGCGAGGAGGCGGUACUCGCAGAAGAAGCACCGGCUAACUCCGUGCCAGCCGCCGCGGUAAUAC
rnacentral:rRNA from 1 species